AUGUAAUUAUGCGUUUUCUUGCAAUUAACCAAAUAAGCUUAUAAACUGCAAUGCGUUUUCUAGCAAUUAACAAAAUAAGCUUACAAAUUGCAAGGCUCAACUGUUUUAUAUGUAUCCGUGUUAUAUUAUGUUGCUAUUUGUCAUUUAAUUUAUGUUUUAAUUUUUAAUCAUACUUAACCUGACCCAAUUAAUCUCAUUUAAUUAUAAUCAUCACACCUCAUCAAAAGCUUCCUUACAAGAACAUAGUCAGCGAUUUUGGUAUGGCUUAGAACCAGACUACGUCAAGAUCGCUUAUAAAUCGUGCUGGUAAUCGCCUUGCAGCGAAACCAAAAACAAAAAAGAAGAAGAAGAAGAAUGUAAUUAUUGAUUUUUCUUAUUUGUUUUUUGUCGUGAUUUUGAGGUAGUAUAGUAUUUAAAGACAUUCAUUAGAUUAAUUAUUUUAUAAACUUUACGUUUUUGGUGAUUUUGAGUGCUGACAACAUGCCUGUGACUUGUAUUUAGUGAACUGUGGAAGUCCAACUGAUCGGGAUAAUGUUAAUUUUAAUUUGUUUUUUGUCCUGAUUUUGAGCUAAUAUAGUAUUUAAAGACAUUCAUUAGAUUAAUUAUUUUAUAAACUUUACGUUCUUGGUGAUUUUGAGUGCUGACAACAUGCCUGUCACUUGUAUAAUAGUGAACUGUGCAAUGAACUGUGCAAGUCCAACUGAUCAGAAUAAUGUUAAUUUUAAUUUGUUUUUUGUCGUGAUUUUGAGCUUAAUAUAGUAUUUAAAGACAUUCAUUAGAUUAAUUAUUUUAUAAACUUUUCGUUUGUGGUGAUUUUAAGUGCUGAAAACAUGCCUGUAAUCUGUAUAGUAGUGAACUGUGGAAGUCGAGCUGAUCGGAUAAUGUUAAUUUUUUUCGUGUUCCCUCUAUAGGGCUUUUCAUUCACAGUCAUUUGUUUUGAGCUUCUGUCAUAUGUCGUAUAAUCCGUGUAUAGUAAUAUUAUACACGGAUUAUACAACAUCUGACAGAAGCUCGAGACAAAUGACAAUCGAUGAAAACGUAUUAGAAACUCAUUUAUGUUUCCUCACCUAACUAAAUUGUCAAAUAACAGGACGCACUCAUGCUAGGAAUUAUGGUUUUUAUUAAUAUUAUUACAAUUAUUUAUAUGUGACACUAACGUAACUAGUGACAUUCAUUUUUAGGCCAAUGUGACAAACUUUAUUAAUACUAAAUUUUAACAUUUAUCCCCUAUUUUGUUAAAACAAUAUUAUUUUGUUUUUCAUUCUAUUCAAAAUAAAUGCAGUUUUGACAGGGAA